UACGUAGGGCGCAAGCGUUAUCCGGAAUUAUUGGGCGUAAAGAGCUCGUAGGCGGCUUGUCGCGUCGGCUGUGAAAACCCGGGGCUCAACCCCGGGCCUGCAGUCGAUACGGGCAGACUAGAGUGCGGUAGGGGAGACUGGAAUUCCUGGUGUAGCGGUGAAAUGCGCAGAUAUCAGGAGGAACACCGGUGGCGAAGGCGGGUCUCUGGGCCGUAACUGACGCUGAGGAGCGAAAGCGUGGGGAGCGAACAGG
rnacentral:rRNA from 1 species